rnacentral:sRNA from 1 species
UUUUAAACCCGACAGCAGCGGCAGCUCCCGAUUCUUCAUCGGGACUAUAGCGAAUGGCGGGGCUUUCG